UACGAAGGGGGCGAGCGUUAUUCGGAAUCACUGGGCGUAAAGCGUGCGUAGGCGGUUAGAUAAGUUAGAAGUGAAAGCCCAGGGCUCAACCUUGGAAUUGCUUUUAAAACUAUUUAACUAGAAUUCGGUAGAGGAUAGCGGAAUUAUCAGCGUAGCAGUGAAAUGCGUAGAUAUUGAUAGGAACACCAGUGGCGUAGGCGGCUAUCUGGACCGAAAUUGACGCUGAGGCACGAAAGUGUGGGGAGCAAACAGG
rnacentral:rRNA from 1 species